UACGGAGGAGGCAAGCGUUAUCCGGAAUUAUUGGGCGUAAAGCGUCCGCAGGUGGCACUUCAAGUCUGUCGUCAAAGACUGGGGCUUAACCCUGGAAAGGCGGUGGAAACUGAAGCGCUAGAGUGCGGUAGGGGUAGAGGGAAUUCCCGGUGUAGCGGUGAAAUGCGUAGAGAUCGGGAGGAACACCAGUGGCGAAGGCGGCUUGCUGGGCCGGACCUGACGCUGAGACGCGAAGGCGUGGGGAGCGAACGGG
rnacentral:rRNA from 1 species